UACGUAGGGUGCGAGCGUUGUCCGGAAUUAUUGGGCGUAAAGAGCUCGUAGGCGGUUUGUCGCGUCUGCUGUGAAAACUGGAGGCUCAACCUCCAGCCUGCAGUGGGUACGGGCAGACUAGAGUGCGGUAGGGGAGAUUGGAAUUCCUGGUGUAGCGGUGGAAUGCGCAGAUAUCAGGAGGAGCACCGAUGGCGAAGGCAGAUCUCUGGGCCGUAACUGACGCUGAGGAGCGAAAGCAUGGGGAGCGAACAGG
rnacentral:rRNA from 1 species